AUUGAACGCUGGCGGCAGGCUUAACACAUGCAAGUCGAACGAGUGGCGGACGGGUGAGUAAUGCUUGGGAAUCUAGCUUAUGGAGGGGGAUAACUCCGGGAAACUGUAGCUAAUACCGCGUACCAUAGGCUGAGCCCAAGUGGGAUUAGGUAGUUGGUGGGGUAAAGGCUCACCAAGCCGACGAUCCCUAGCUGGUCUGAGAGGAUGACCAUCCACACUGGGACUGAGACACGGCCCAGACGCCUACGGGAGGCAGGAGUGGGGAAUAUGGCGCAAUGGGUGCAACCUGAUGCAGCCAUGCCGCGUGAAUGAAGAAGGCCUUCGGGUUGUAAAGUUCUUUCGGUAGCGAGGCGUUAACUACAGAAGAAGCACCGGCUAACUCCGUGCCAGCAGCCGCGGUAAUUC
rnacentral:rRNA from 1 species